AUGUUCAGUUAUAGUAGUAGGAAGUGCCAUCAAGUUUUUCUUGAGGAUCUUCAUAUGUGCAUGAUUUGCCUUAACCAGACUAAAGGUUCAAAUUUCAUCAAGCUUCCAUGCGAACAUUUGUUUUGUGUCAAGUGCAUGGAGACCUUAUGCAAGAUGCAUGUGAAGGAAGGUACUUUGUUUCAGUUGAUAUGCCCUGAUACCAAGUGCAAUGCUUCUAUUCCACCGUAUUUGUUAAAGAGGCUUCUCAGCGAGGAAGAAUUCGAACGCUGGGAUAGGCUUACUCUUGAGAAAGCAUUGGACUCGAUGUCAGAUGUGGUUCAGUGUCCAAGAUGUGCGAUCGGUUGCUUGGAAGAUGAGGACAACAAUGCGCAAUGCCCAAAAUGUUUCUUUGUCUUCUGCUCGUUGUGCAAGGAUUCACGCCAUCCAGGGAAACAAUGUCUAACUCUGGAAGAAAAGAUCCGGCAACAACAGGCGGCAGGCAAGAUGAGCGCAAGGGAGAUGGUGGAGGAACUGAUGAGCAUCAAGGAGCUUUACAACGAUGCUAGGUCAUGUCCGAAAUGCAGAAUGACCAUCAGCAAAACCGAAGGUUGCAACAAGGUGGUGUGCAUCAGUUGUGGUCAGGCAUUCUGUUUCCUUUGUGGCAAGGCUAUCAUCGCUGGCUAUGCCCAUUUCAGUAGGGACUGUGACCUCUUUGCGGAGAAAGAAAAGGACACGAUGGACUGGCGGAAGCGCUUGGAACAACUUGAAACUGGAAACCGCAUGCGAGCUCAAAGCCAGCCGGUAGGCAGCACCGUGAAAUGCCCGAAAUGCCGUCAAAAGAUUUACAAGGGUGACGAUAAGUAUAUUUUCUGCUGGGUAUGUCAAGCCACCUAUUGCAUGAUGUGCAGAAAGCAGGUCCAGUUUACCGGGAUGCAAAGCGAGCACUGGGGGUCACCGCAAUGUGUGGGGAUAAAGUCCUAG
rnacentral:rRNA from 1 species